rnacentral:rRNA from 1 species
UACGGAGGGUGCGAGCGUUGUCCGGAAUCAUUGGGCGUAAAGGGCGCGUAGGUGGCGGGACAAGCGUGCGGUGAAAGCCUGGGGCUCAACCCCGGGUCGGCCGUGCGAACUGUUUUGCUUGAGUACUGUAGAGGCAGGCGGAAUUCCGGGUGUAGCGGUGGAAUGCGUAGAGAUCGGGAGGAACACCAGUGGCGAAGGCGACUUCCUGGCCUGUUCUUGACGCUGAGGCGCGAAAGCUAGGGGAGCAAACGGGG